rnacentral:rRNA from 1 species
GUAGGUGGCAAGCGUUGUCCGGAAUUAUUGGGGCGUAAAGCGCGCGCAGGCGGUUCUUUAAGUCUGAUGUGAAAGCCCACGGGCUCAACCGUGGAGGGCCAUUGGAAACUGGAGAACUUGAGUACAGAAGAGGAAAGCGGAAUUCCACGUGUAGCGGUGAAAUGCGUAGAGAUGUGGAGGAACACCAGUGGCGAAGGCGGCUUUCUGGUCUGUAACUGACGCUGAGGCGCGAAAGCGUGGGGAGCAAACAGGAUUAGAUACCCUGGUAGUCCACGCCGUAAACGAUGAGUGCUAAGUGUUAGGGGGUUUCCGCCCCUUAGUGCUGCAGCUAACGCAUUAAGCACUCCGCCUGGGGAGUACGGCCGCAAAGGCUG